AUAUCUAAAAAGUUUCAGAUUGAUUGGUAGUCCCCCCCCCAUCUUUGUCUAGAGAAGUAUAAUUACAAUUUUGUUCCCCAAAUGAGAAGUUUUUGAUUUUCCCAUCCCUGCUGACCUCAAAAAUAGGGUCUGGAUUUUCUGGAGAUGCAAGGGGAGGGGUUAGGUGGUUCAGGGAUAUGGAGAGGGGUGACCAUUAGCAGAAACAUCUCUCUGGCAUAGAUUGCUGGUUCAUCUCCACAGGACGGGAGAUGUGCCUCCCUUUUCCAUUCUGUGGUAGGACCUUUGGCUGCCUAGAGGGAAACCAUUCCAAUGGGAAGGCAGGAGCAGCACCAAAGCAGAAACAGAUGGAGGAUGACUCUGGAGGUCCUGGCCAUUGUUAUGGAUAGGAGAAACCAGCAGCAGUUUGAAUCCCUCAGGGCUCAGAAGGAUUGGGCUCCUCAGCAGGAGCAUGCACUGCUGAAUCAGUUCCUGAAGCAGGACAU